UACGUAGGUGGCAAGCGUUGUCCGGAUUUACUGGGUGUAAAGGGCGAGUAGGCGGGACUGUAAGUCAGGUGUGAAAUGCGGAGGCUCAACCUCCGAAUUGCAUUUGAAACUACAGUUCUUGAGUGAUGGAGAGGCAGGCGGAAUUCCCGGUGUAGCGGUGGAAUGCGUAGAUAUCGGGAGGAACACCAGUGGCGAAGGCGGCCUGCUGGACAUUAACUGACGCUGAGGCUCGAAAGCGUGGGGAGCAAAC
rnacentral:rRNA from 1 species